rnacentral:rRNA from 1 species
UACGGAGGGUGCAAGCGUUAAUCGGAAUUACUGGGCGUAAAGCGCACGCAGGUGGCUGAGUCAGUCGAUUGUGAAAGCCCUGGGCUUAACCUGGGAAUUGCAGUCGAUACUACUCAGCUAGAGUAUGGGAGAGGGUAGUGGAAUUCCCGGUGUAGCGGUGAAAUGCGUAGAUAUCGGGAAGAACACCCGUGGCGAAGGCGGUUCUCUGGGACGGUACUGACGCUGAGACGCGAAAGCGUGGGGAGCGAACAGG